rnacentral:rRNA from 1 species
AGUGAACGCUGGCGGUAGGCCUAACACAUGCAAGUCGAACGGCAGCACAGUAAGAGCUUGCUCUUACGGGUGGCGAGUGGCGGACGGGUGAGGAAUACAUCGGAAUCUACUUUUUCGUGGGGGAUAACGUAGGGAAACUUACGCUAAUACCGCAUACGACCUACGGGUGAAGGCAGGGGAUCUUCGGACCUUGCGCGAUUGAAUGAGCCGAUGUCGGAUUAGCUAGUUGGCGGGGUAAAGGCCCACCAAGGCGACGAUCCGUAGCUGGUCUGAGAGGAUGAUCAGCCACACUGGAACUGAGACACGGUCCAGACUCCUACGGGAGGCAGCAGUGGGGAAUAUUGGACAAUGGGCGCAAGCCUGAUCCAGCCAUACCGCGUGGGUGAAGAAGGCCUUCGGGUUGUAAAGCCCUUUUGUUGGGAAAGAAAAGCAGCAGGUUAAUACCCCGCUGUGCUGACGGUACCCAAAGAAUAAGCACCGGCUAACUUCGUG